UAUCUUCUUGAGCCCCUGGUCGACCCCUGAGCUUGACCUUAUCCCUCUGGAGCUGAGGAUAAGGCAAGAGCUCUCUUCUCUCUUUCUCUCUCUAAGUUUUCCAUUUUGAAGUGGAAAACUAGUGGAUUUGAGCUUGAUUCUUCUUUCUCCUUUAUGCUUGCUGGUUGGGAAGCCUUGGAAUUAAGUUUUGCUGGGGAAGAGAGGGACUUCAAAGAGGUUUUGGAGCCCUAGUACAGCAGGUAGUUGGGGUGUAACUUGCUAUUUGGAGCUGUUAGAGGAGUAUGGGAAGAGACUUUUGGCAAGGUUUUCUUCAGCACUAACUCAGCAGGAGCUGAGUUGAAGCAUCGGAAAAGUGGACUAGUAACUUUCCUCUCUAAGUUUUAUGUAUAGUAGUUGUAGUAGUGGUUUGAGCUUGUGUUUGUCUUUGUGCUGACAGCUGAGUAGGGAAAACUCACAGCAAUAUUGAAGGGGUAUUUUGGCUGCGAUAUCUUAGUCCUAACCCAGUCAAAGCUGAGUUAGAGUUGGAUUUGGUAAACAGAAUUUGCAACAGGCUAUUGGAUUACUUUGGGCUGAAACUCGUGAGCUCCAGAAGAGUAAAUUUGAUGUGCUCCAACCUGAAUUUGAGAGAAAUUCAAGUUGGAUUCUAUUCAAGUAGUUGUUAGGGUACUGGACGGCCUCGGAUCACUUUGAAGUGAGUCUUGGUGACUCUUAAAGGCUGAUUUUGAAGAACUUCAACUUGAGUUGAAGUAAAGUUCAAGAGCGAAUUCUAAACUAGGAUACUUGGAAGCUAGAGAACAUUUUGCUUACAAGAUCGAUGAGAGCCGACAACGAAUUGAGUCUUCCAUAGCGAGAGAGGUAGGGUUCGCGGCAAGAGGUUGGCGACUAGCUAGAGCCAUAUGGAAAUACUUUAGAUGGACCCGAUGUCAUCAUUCCGUUUUGUACCGAUGGAAAUGAUGUAUUUUGUAUUUGUAUUUGUUUUACAGUUCUAGUCUGAUUCUUGGUUUUAGUUGUUUUUAUGGAUCUCCUUAUAAUAAACUUUAGUAGUUUUACACUAUUUGCUC